rnacentral:rRNA from 1 species
CCUACGGGUGGCAGCAGUGGGGGAUAUUGCACAAUGGGGGAAACCCUGAUGCAGCGACGCCGCGUGUGGGAAGACGGUCUUCUGGAUUGUAAACCACUGUCCCCAGGGACGAAAAUGACGGUACCUGGGGAGGAAGCUCCGGCUAACUACGUGCCAGCAGCCGCGGUAAUACGUAGGGAGCAAGCGUUGUCCGGAAUUACUGGGUGUAAAGGGAGCGUAGGCGGGGAUGCAAGUUGGGGGUCAAAACUACCGGCUCAACCGAUAGUCGCACUCAAAACUGCAACUCUUGAGUGAAGUAGAGGCAGGCGGAAUUCCUAGUGUAGCGGUGAAAUGCGUAGAUAUUAGGAGGAACACCAGUGGCGAAGGCGGCCUGCUGGGCUUUUACUGACGCUGAGGCUCGAAAGUGUGGGGAGCAAACAGGAUUAGAUACCCUUGUAGUC